CCUACGGGAGGCAGCAGUAGGGAAUUUUCGUCAAUGGGCGCAAGCCUGAACGAGCGAUGCCGCGUGAGUGAAGAAGGCCUUCGGGUCGUAAAGCUCUGUUGCGGGGGAAAAAAGGCAGCAUCAGGAAAUGGGUGCUGACUGAUGGUGCCCCGCCAGAAAGUCACGGCUAACUACGUGCCAGCAGCCGCGGUAAUACGUAGGUGGCGAGCGUUAUCCGGAAUGGUUGGGCGUAAAGAGUGCGCAGGCGGUCCUGCAAGUCUGGAGUGAAACGCAUGAGCUCAACUCAUGCAUGGCUUGGGAAACUGGAGGACUGGAUAGCAGGAGAGGGCGGUGGAACUCCAUGUGUAGCGGGAGAAUGCGUAGUUAGAUGGAAGAACACCAGUGGCGAAGGCGGCCGCCUGGCCUGUUGCUGACGCUGAGGCACGAAAGCGUGGGGAGCAAAUAGGAUUAGAUACCCCUGUAGUC
rnacentral:rRNA from 1 species